GAUGAACGCUGGCGGCGUGCCUAAUACAUGCAAGUCGAGCGAACAGACGAGGAGCUUGCUCCUCUGACGUUAGCGGCGGACGGGUGAGUAACACGUGGAUAACCUACCUAUAAGACUGGGAUAACUUCGGGAAACCGGAGCUAAUACCGGAUAAUAUAUUGAACCGCAUGGUUCAAUAGUGAAAGACGGUUUUGCUGUCACUUAUAGAUGGAUCCGCGCCGCAUUAGCUAGUUGGUAAGGUAACGGCUUAUCAAGGCAACGAUGCGUAGCCGACCUGAGAGGGUGAUCGGCCACACUGGAACUGAGACACGGUCCAGACUCCUACGGGAGGCAGCAGUAGGGAAUCUUCCGCAAUGGGCGAAAGCCUGACGGAGCAACGCCGCGUGAGUGAUGAAGGUCUUCGAAUCGUAAAACUCUGUUAUUAGGGAAGAACAAAUGUGUAAGUAACUAUGCACGUCUUGACGGUACCUAAUCAGAAAGCCACGGCUAACUACGUG
rnacentral:rRNA from 1 species